CGGAGAGGGAAUGUGUUAGGGUGUAGGAGAUUCAUAUGCUGUGUCUGGGAGCAAGCUUGCAUCUCAACAAAGUUCCUGGAUAAACCACCUCUUAGGACCAGAGGAAGUAGGACUUGGUGAGGUCCAGAGCCGCUGCAGGAUUUCCCGACCUGGCGUUGGUGGCCCAGGCGCAUAUACCAUGAUAGCACCCAAAGAAAACCGAAGAAGUCAGAUACAAAGGAUUGCUGAGCAAGAGCUGAAGAAUCUUGAGAAGUGGAAGGAGCAACAUAGAGCGAAGCCUGUUAACCUGGUGCCAAGGCGGUU
rnacentral:lncRNA from 1 species